AUGCCCAUGAGUGCCAAGGUCGCUGUUCUGGAAACUGAGCUUAUUGCAGUGCCUACGUGGGAAGGAAGUGGAAUAUCCAAGCCUGUUCCCUUGAAUUUAGCAGUUCAGCUUCUUUGUACCUCUGUGUUCGUGAAACUGAAAGAACCUAUCACAAGCCUGCAGGGACAUAUCCACUCUACGUUUUUCUUUUUUCCUGGAGAAUAUUUUUUCAACAGGGAGUGCAGGAGGAGGAGAACGAGCUCAGUGAACUCUCCCAGACUCUGCCUUUCGGAGUUAUACGUAACCGGAUCAUUGUGGAUACAGAGGGGCACUUCAAGCCAAGAUUGCGUCCAACUUCCCAUGCAACCUGUGGCUCAGCUUUAGAGUGGAACUGCCAGACUGGCACCUCUGGCAUGUGCCUUUCUACGUACAGUUGCAGCAUGUCCACGUGAGCAAGAAGUUUGCAUGGAACUGUGGUACAAAUCCUUUUCCAUAUUUUAGAGAACUUUAAGGGUUUCAUAUUUCUAAAAUGCGUGUUCAGCUUUUUACAGUUCUAAGACUGGAGCUUUUCCCAAGAAUCUUGGAGGUAAGCAGGGUGUUAAAAUGACUUAUUUUAAAACCUUUUUGUUGCCACUUAAAUAAAUCAGUGUAAACCAAUAUCA
rnacentral:lncRNA from 1 species